rnacentral:rRNA from 1 species
AUGGACCCGCGGCGCAUUAGCUAGUUGGUGGGGUAAUGGCUCACCAAGGCGACGAUGCGUAGCCGACCUGAGAGGGUGAUCGUCCACACUGGGACUGAGACACGGCCCAGACUCCUACGGGAGGCAGCAGUAGGGAAUCUUCCGCAAUGGACGAAAGUCUGACGGAGCAACGCCGCGUGAGUGAUGAAGGUUUUCGGAUCGUAAAGCUCUGUUGUUAGGGAAGAACAAGUGCGAGAGUAACUGCUCGCACCUUGACGGUACCUAACCAGAAAGCCCCGGCUAACUACGUGCCACCACCCGCGGUAAUAUGUAGGUGGCAAGCGUUGUCCGGAAUUAUUGGGCGUAAAGGGCUCGCAGGCGGUUUCUUAAGUCUGAUGUGAAAGCCCCCGGCUCAACCGGGGAGGGUCAUUGGAAACUGGGAAACUUGAGUGCAGAAGAGGAGAGUGGAAUUCCACGUGUAGCGGUGAAAUGCGUAGAGAUGUGGAGGAACACCAGUGGCGAAGGCGCCUCUCUGGUCUGUAACUGACGCUGAGGAGCGAAAGCGUGGGGAGCGAACAGGAUUAGAUACCCUGGUAGUCCACGCCGUAAACGAUGAGUCUAAGUGUUAGGGGGUUUCC